UUUUCAUUUACUUCCCGACCCUCCCGUUUUCAAAUAAACGUGGGUAAUUCAUAAAAUAAGACUUUUUAAUGAUAAUCAAGUACAUGAUGUUUCAGACUCAAAAUGACGAGUACGCUGCACACCAUCCACAGCGCAAAUCUGUUUGUUGGUGUUGGAGCAAAGUAAAUUCUUUCAACUCGCUUUGCAUUAGAGAUAUCACCAGUAGAUGGUGCUGUUGUACGGAUUCUGGAUCCGUGUUUCUCAAGCGAAACCCUCAGUCAGGUUGCUGUCACAGAGAUCCAUUACUACGUGCACAGAAAUUAAUGGUGCUCCAGUCCUUUCACCAGUGUGGGAGGAUAUCUUCAGUUGGUGUCAUCCAACUAAAGUUGCUGUGAUUGAUGUGGGUGCAUCCUGAUGGAAGGAUAACUGUGUCUUUCAGUGGACCACCUGAGUGUCUCUGAGGCGAAACACUAAUCUCUCUAAACAGAUGUAGUCAGAGAUAGCAAAGUUUUGACCAGAGCUAAGUAAGACCUGCUUUAAGUAAUGCUUUGCUUUUUACCAGAUUUAUCUUGAUCACAAUGGACGUUUUACAGGAAGUUGCUGUCUGAAAGGCUUUGUUGCAUAAACAAAAACAACUUAUCCUGAGCCCUAGCUCUACUGCUCGUAUUCUUAAAUUACUUUUCACUACAAACACAAGUUGUUCUCUUUUCUUGACAUAAACAAUUAAAUCAAGUUUUGACUUGACUGGGUUGCACUCAGAAAAUUCCUGAGACUUCAGUUUAACAAUGUGUGUGGCUCAUUUCUCAUAAAAUGGAAUACAUGAAUAAAGCCUCACGCUUUUUAUGAGCAUCAUAAAUUACAUUACACAGCACCCACAGAUGGUUGACGACAGAGCAUUGGGUGAAGAGUACGACCAUGCCCACCAACGUACUGAGGACGAAUUGUUUGCCAUGUUUGUCAAAACUCCCUAUAAAUAAAACAGACAUGAAUUUGAAUUUCCACAAUUUGAGUCAGAAUGAAUGUGAACUGUAGAUAAAAUCUGCACUUUAGAAAGAAAAGAAAGUGGAUGACACGUUUCAUUAUUUUAUUGAGAUUGUAAACAUUGCUGCAACAUUGCACAAGCCAUUUCCUGUCAUUUCGUCUACAGCCAAAAAUAAAACACAAUACUGUAGUGAACCUGUAUCAAAUCAUUUACACAAUAUCCACACGGUCCUCACAUUUUGUCAUUUACUGUGGGAUCAAAAGUAAAAAAUUGUAAUUAAAAAGGUUAUCAUCCAACUUAAAACUUCUACUUACCAUCUGUUGUUGAUCAUUUGUCAAAUCAUGAAUAGUUGUUUAUAAUCAUUAUGAGCUCAGUUUUUAUUUUUAUAGAAAUAUAAUUAAUUUUAAUAUAAAUUCGGGAUGCAUGAUAAUUAAGUGAUUAUUGGGCCGAUAUUAGGAAUCAUGAGGUCAUAUCAACAAAUCCGAUAACAUUAAAAAAAAAGCUUAAAAAAAAAAAAGCAAACAAGAACAAAGAGGAAAAUCUAAUUGAGGCUGUGCUUUGCAUUUGGUACAUUUGAGUGAACAAAUCAUGCACUCCUGUCAAAAACUCACCUCUGAGCUCGCUCACCAUUGAGUAGCCCUGCAGAGUGCAAUUUGAGGUAGGGCUCAAUGUGGGGUGGACCAAAAUGCUUGACUCCGCAUAUGCGGACUCGAAGCUCCUCCGUUUUUAAACUUUUAAAACAUAAAAAAAUUACAAAUUCUCACCACUCAGUCAGUCGGAGCGGAGCUAACUUAACUGUUUGACGGAAGUGGUCAUUCAGUGUGUGUUCAGGGUACUUAAUGUAAAUGCGGCAUGUGCAAUGAGCGUAUUUGACUUCUUCAUUUGCAGUUGACUGAAUUUGGAUCAGCAUUCAC